GAAAAAACUUAAUAGUUACAACUUUCAACAACGGAUCUCUUGGUUCUGGCAUCGAUGAAGAACGCAGCGAAAUGCGAUAAGUAGUGUGAAUUGCAGAAUUCAGUGAAUCAUCGAAUCUUUGAACGCACAUUGCGCCCCUUGGUAUUCCAUGGGGCAU
rnacentral:rRNA from 1 species